GCUGAAAGGAAAAUAGGGUGCCUAUUGAAACUGUUUUUUGCUGGGACUGCAACAGUUGUAGCUUAUCAGUUUUUCCCAUACAUGGGAGACAAUCUGUUGAAGCAGUCUGUGACACUUUUACAAGUUAAGGAUCCCUUGUUCAAAAGAAUGGGAGCAUCCAGGUUGGCUCGUUUUGCCAUUGAUGGUAUGUUUGGGCUAGAAUAUCCUGAGGUUAAUAUUAGUGCGUAAUGAUUUGCUUUGUGUUUGAUACA